CUGGACGACUUUUCCCCCGUCUUCCACAACCCCGAGUCCCCAACCCACCACGGCGUUGCGGAAUCCACCUGCAACUGCAAGCCCACGAAAUCGAGCCGAGCCCCGACGCCACCAAAUCGUGUGGCCUCGGAGAUCGAGCAGGGUCUGGAAGAACCAGGGGAGAGACCGUCAGAAGAGGAGGACCAGCAGCAGGCAGGCGGUGGUGGCGAAGUCGUCGGCGUCGGCGGCCGGGGUAUCUACGAUGAUAACCCGGUCGAAGCUGGUGGAGCAACUGCGCGACUACCAGAUCCGAUCCCAGCACAAGCGUGA
rnacentral:misc_RNA from 1 species